rnacentral:rRNA from 1 species
ACGGAAGGCAGCAGUGGGGAAUAUUGCACAAUGGGGGAAACCCUGAUGCAGCGACGCCGCGUGAGUGAGGAAGUAUUUCGGUAUGUAAAGCUCUAUCAGCAGGGAAGAUAAUGACGGUACCUGACUAAGAAGCCCCGGCUAACUACGUGCCGGCAGCCGCGGUAAUACGUAGGGGGCAAGCGUUAUCCGGAUUUACUGGGUGUAAAGGGUGCGUAGACGGUUAGGCAAGUCAGAUGUGAAAGCCCGGGGCUCAACCCCGGGACUGCAUUUGAAACUGCUUAACUAGAGUGCAGGAGAGGUAAGUGGAAUUCCUAGUGUAGCGGUGAAAUGCGUAGAUAUUAGGAGGAACACCAGUGGCGAAGGCGGCUUACUGGACUGUAACUGACGUUGAGGCACGAAAGCGUGGGGAGCAAACAGGAUUAGAUACCCUGGUA